CCCAGCACUUCUGGGCAAACACUCGUGCGAUAAUCAUCCUCGUCACUGAGAAGGCAUCCGAAUUUCUCCUAAACACAACAGAGAGACACUGGAUUUCUUCUGUAUAUGAGCUGGCCUGAGCUGCAGAAUUACAUGGGCUCCUACAGCUGCGUCAUGGAAAACACUGUUCACCACAUCGUGGAGCGAGCUCGCCAGUGAUGGGAACAGCAUCAUGGAGACAUGGAGAGGCAAGCUGGUGUCUCAGAAACGUCACGCUGGCUGCCGGCAGGACGGCUCCAGGCUCUGCUGGCAAUCAGAUGGCAGAAGAGCGGCUGAGAUGAAGCACUUCCCUCCUCAGCUUCAGGGAAGAAUAAUUAUGGGGGCAGGAAACCAGGUUUUGGGGAUGAGUCUCCUAUAAAUAAAACUAAACCUGGUCUAGGGGUCAGUAAAACACCUUUGCAGCUGCUCAAGUCUCCUCAGAUUUGCACUUGUUCAAACCAAAACUGGAAUAUGGACAGGAACUGUUUCCUCCUGGAAACUUGCCGCUGGUUCUGCCUGAUGUGUCCCUUGACCUGCUGCUUCCCAUAAUCUCAAACCUGAUAUGGAUCUUGUUGUGGAAUGGAUGUGGCUGACAUUUAGCAGGAAUGCUAGUUGUCGUCAGAGCAGUGCCUGGGGAGAUGCAGUCCGCGCUCAACCAUGCAGCUGACGCAACCUGCUGUUUUGCAAGCUCAGUCACCACCUCACUUCAUCAAAGAAAUGCUCUUGGCUAAUACUUGGUGAUGCUUCCCAGAAAUGGCAUGGGCAGGAAAGAUGUUUGCUUGGCAUAAGCUGGCCUCAGUACAACCUCUCCAGCAUUGUCUGAGUGGAAGAAACCAACUUGGAUGAGUUUGGAGCUAAGCUGGGUUUAGCCAGGCCACAAAGUCCAAGAGCUUUGAGUGAACGGUGUGAGGAGGCUCAGCCUCCCCUCCUGACAGCCCCACUUGCAGAAACCUCUCCAGGUAAAAGCUAUGCUCCAUUUCUUGUGAUGCUGCAGAAUCAGAAAUAUCCCAGCUGCAGGAGGCAUACUUCCAGGAUCCCCUUUGUGCAAAGGUGUCGAGACAAUUUACAGUCCCAAGCCUAUUUGGGGCUACCACCUUUAGUGCAUUAAUUUUACAUGCAAGCAAAGUGAUUCGUUUCUCAUAUCUCCCUCGACCGCAGACAGACUUGUUGGCAGAUCUGGGAAGAGGAGCCUGUGCCCCCCCCCAUCUGCAUCUGGUUGCAUUUGAAAUUUCAAGCGAGCGCCAGAGCUUUCGCUCAGCUUGAUUGUGCUUUUUUUUUCCCAGCCACUUCUUCAAGGAACAUAAAGAGAACUCAAAUGCAUCUUUCUAACCAAAGUGAAGUUCAGGAUUUGCUAAGAACAAAGCAUUUGGUUUGCCCCAGAUACAAAUGGCCAUUUACUCAAGGGGAGUACCCCAAGAGGCUUCAACUCCCUGGCCCCAACCGCUCUGUCCCAGGCUCUUUUGGGUUGACUUACUACAGUCCUUUGGCACAAGCAGCGGAACGUCCAGCUCUCUGGGGAACAGCCGGCAAGGCUGUGCCAGUACCAGGCAGACACGGCAGACCCUCCGGCGCCA